GUACACUCCUACGGGAGGCAGCAGUGGGGAAUAUUGGACAAUGGGCGCAAGCCUGAUCCAGCCAUGCCGCGUGAGUGAUGAAGGCCCUAGGGUUGUAAAGCUCUUUCACCGGUGAAGAUAAUGACGGUAACCGGAGAAGAAGCCCCGGCUAACUUCGUGCCAGCAGCCGCGGUAAUACGAAGGGGGCUAGCGUUGUUCGGAUUUACUGGGCGUAAAGCGCACGUAGGCGGACUAUUAAGUCAGGGGUGAAAUCCCGGGGCUCAACCCCGGAACUGCCUUUGAUACUGGUAGUCUUGAGUUCGAGAGAGGUGAGUGGAAUUCCGAGUGUAGAGGUGAAAUUCGUAGAUAUUCGGAGGAACACCAGUGGCGAAGGCGGCUCACUGGCUCGAUACUGACGCUGAGGUGCGAAAGCGUGGGGAGCAAACAGGAUUAGAAACCCAGUAGUCCCAUG
rnacentral:rRNA from 1 species